CCGUGGUGGUGUAGGUGGAAGCGGCGGUGGAGGAGGAGGAUGAGGUAGUGAACACUGUUUUUUAUAUAUAUAUAUAUAUUUUUUUUUUUAAAUUGGGGUAGCCCCCAAAAUAUUGGGACAUAUAAAAAAAAGACAACUCUGUUCCGCAGAGUAGCUGUUGACAUUAUAGUUGUGCAGGCACUUUGUUGACUGUAGAGAACCUCGGGACAAUAGCACAUCCCUGUGACAGCGACUUUGCAUUCGGAUGUCAUCCAUAUCAACUCUCGAUGCCAGUUUCUGCGCCUACCAUGGUGACCAUGGGUAACGGGGAAUAAGGGUUCCAUUCCGUAUAGGGACCCUGAGAAACGGCUACCACAUGCAAGGAAGGCAGCAGACGUGCAAAUAACCCACUCCCAACGUGGGAAUGUCUUGAUGACAAAUAACAAUACAGGACUCUUUAGAGGCCCUGUAAUUGUAAUGAGUCCACUUGAAAUCCUUUAACUCUGAUCAAUUGGAGGAAAGUCUAGUGCAGAGCCACUGAUCCGU